AUUGAACGCUGGCGGCAGGCCUAACACAUGCAAGUCGAACGAGUGGCGGACGGGUGAGUAAUGUCUGGGAAACUGCCCGCUGGCGGGGGAUAACUCCUGGAAACGGUAGCUAAUACCGCAUACCAUCGGAUGUGCCCAGAUGGGAUUAGCUAGUAGGUGGGGUAACGGCUCACCUAGGCGACGAUCCCUAGCGGGUCUGAGAGGGUGACCAGGCACACUGGAAGUGAGACACGGUCCAGGCUCCUACGGGAGGGAGCAGUGGGGAAUAUUGCGCAAGGGGCGCAAGCCUGAUGCAGCCAUGCGGCGUGUAUGAAGAAGGCCUUCGGGUUGUAAAGUACUUUCAGCGAGGAGGCGUUACUCGCAGAAGAAGCACCGGCUAACUCCGUGCCAGCCGCCGCGGUAAUAC
rnacentral:rRNA from 1 species